CCCGCCGCCGCCGUCCUGCACGCGCUCUGGCUAGACGCUGUCCUCGAUGUUGAACGCGACGACGACGGCAGGUAUCCCGAAGGCGGAGUGGUCGCGGGUGUGGCCGGGUUGGCGACGUAGUAGCAGCCGGAGGACUCCCCACGGAUGCAGACGAGGCCGCGGGUGGAGGUGAGGACGGUGACGGGCUCCCGAAAGGCGGAGAAGCGCGGGUCGGGAUGAGCUGCUUGGCGCCGCGGAGCGCGUCGAAGGCGAAGAAGCCAUCGUUGUCAGCAUCCGUCUCCUCCUUGUCGUCGUCAACAUCGGCGAGCAGCGGCGCGAUGCAGCAUCAGCGAGCGGCUGGGCAAGGUAGAAAAUGCUAAUAAUUUUAGCCUGGCUCUGACGCCGUGAGGUAGAGAGAGAGAAACAGAAAAAAAAAGAGUGAGGGAAAAGAGGAUGACACGUGAGACCCAGUUAUCAU
rnacentral:lncRNA from 1 species